CGCACAUUGCGCCCUGUGGUAUUCCGCGGGGCAUGCCUGUUCGAGCGUCAUUUUACCAAUCAAGCCUCGCUUGGUGUUGGAGCCCGUACUUCUACGGCUCUCAAAUACAAUAGCAGUCUAAACAAGACCCUAAGUAUAGUAAACUUCUUGCUUUUGGGCGAUGUGGCGACUUGCUAAAUGCCAACCUUAUAGGUUGACCUCGGAUCAGGUAGGGAUACCCGCUGAACUUAA
rnacentral:misc_RNA from 1 species